rnacentral:rRNA from 1 species
AUGCUUAGUGAGCAAGACAUCCAGCAGACGACCAAUGCGAGCAUGAACAUGUAUGCGUUCAGCGGACAACAUUCCCUCAUGGCGAGCAACCUAAAGGCGGUGGCAGAGAUGCACCGUGAGUGCUCCGCCAACAACCAACUGGGAAACGUGGGUGAUGGAGCUGGCGGCUGGUCCUACUACUACUACGACAUAGACGCCACUAGUUCGAGCGGCCUUGCUGGAGGUAGUGCUAGCUGUAGCGACCAUGAUGUCAUCGACGUGGUGCAGAUGGCCUCGAGGGUGUUUGCUGCACAGGACUAG